rnacentral:lncRNA from 1 species
CUUUCUGGAAUAAGGAUUUCUAUUCAAUUUAUCUUUCUAGAACAGUGGGUUGCUAUUUCAUGAGGGAGAUGGCAAAGUUGCAGUCCAUGUCAUGUAUUCUUGGCCUUCUUCCCUGAUGCUUCUAUUACUUUCUUGUAAGAUGGUUUUGAAGAGAUCUGGUCUAUCUUUGGAGGGAUUUUUCCCUGAAUAUCUCUUUCGCUUUUGAGUUCUUUAUUCUUUCGCUUUUGUUAAAUAACUGACAAUUGAUAAAGUUUUAAAUGCUUUGUAGGUUGGGAAAAGUUAUUUAUACCUGGAGCGGAAGCAAGAAGUUAUUACAUUUUCUCAGUUUCUUGAGAGAAUUAAGGCUAAUGGCUCUUCCUCUACUGCCCCAACAUAUCUUGAGAGGAUUUGCAUCUCAUAUUCACCAAAUGCAACUUUUGAAAUUAUUCUUAUAAACUGGUACUUUUAAACUUUUAUUAAUAUGUUCUUUUGUGUUUUUGGUAGAAACGGAUCAUUGGAGCUUCUGAGAUGCGGCAACAAAGAAAAUUGAGCUGUAAUUUAAAAUUUGGUCGUAAUUUAGUUUGCUUCAUUAUAAAUUUGGUUGUAAUUUUUAAAUUUAAUGUUGGAUUAUUUUAUUAUUUUUGCAAAAGAAUGAUUGCUUUAUUCAAUAUGGAAAGUGGGC